rnacentral:rRNA from 1 species
GACGUAGGGCGCAAGCGUUGUCCGGAUUUAUUGGGCGUAAAGAGCUCGUAGGCGGCUUGUUGCGUCGUCCGUGAAAACCCGCAGCUCAACUGCGGGCUUGCGGACGAUACGGGCAGGCUGGAGUUCGGUAGGGGAGACUGGAAUUCCUGGUGUAGCGGUGAAAUGCGCAGAUAUCAGGAGGAACACCGGUGGCGAAGGCGGUUCUCUGGGCCUGUACUGACGCUGAGGAGCGAAAGCGUGGGGAGCGAACAGG